UGAAUACGAGACGCUACGGCGUCGAAGCAGUCUAUGUCAUACUUCCAAGAAAAGCUCGCAAUGUCAUAAACAAAUAAUGCCUGUACCAUAACCGACACAGGUGGGUAGGUAGAGUAUACUAAGGGGCGCGAGAUAACUCUCUCUAAGGAACUCGGCAAAAUGACUCCGUAACUUCGGGAGAAGGAGUGCCUUAUUUAUAAGGUUGCAAUAACAAGAUCCAAGCAACUGUUUAUCAAAAACACAGGUCUCCGCUAAGUCGUAAGACGAUGUAUGGGGGCUGACGCCUGCCCAGUGCCAGAAGGUUAAAGAAGUUGGUUAGCAUUCGCGAAGCUGAUAACUGAAGCCCUGGUGAACGGCGGCCGUAACAAUAACGGUCCUAAGGUAGCGAAAUUCCUUGUCGGGUAAGUUCCGACCCGCACGAAAGGCGUAAUGAUUUGGAUACUGUCUCGGAGAGGGGCUCGGUGAAAUAGACUUGUCUGUGAAGAUGCGGACUACCUGCACCUGGACAGAAAGACCCUAUGAAGCUUUACUGUAACUUGAAAUUGAAAUUGGACUUUAUUUGCGCAGCAUAGGUGGGAGGCGUUGAGAGUAUUCUUGCGGGAAUAUUGGAGCCAUCAGUGAGAUACCACUCUUGUAAUGUUAGAUUUCUAACUUUGGAUCAUUAUCUGGUCAAAGAACAGUUUCAGGCGGGCAGUUUGACUGGGGCGGUCGCCUCCCAAAUGCUAACGGAGGCGUACAAAGGUUUCCUCUGAACGGGUAGAAAUCGUAUCUAGAGUGUAAAGGCAUAAGGAAGCUUGACUGUGAGACCUACAAGUCGAGCAGGGACGAAAGUCGGUCUUAGUGAUCUGACGGUGCUGAGUGGAAAGGCCGUCACUCAACGGAUAAAAGUUACUCUAGGAUAACAGGCUGAUCUCCCCCAAGAGUUCACAUCGACGGGGAGGUUUGGCACCUCGAUGUCGGCUCAUCGCAUCCUGGGGCGGUAGUACGUCCCAAGGGUUGGGCUGUUCGCCCAUGAAAGCGGUACGCGAGCUGGGUUCAGAACGUCGUGAGACAGUUCGGUCCAUAUCCGGUGUAGGCGUUAGAAUAUUGAGAGGAGCCUUCUUUAGUACGAGAGGACCGAGAAGGACAUACCUCUGGUGUACCAGUUAUCGUGCCAACGGUAAACGCUGGGUAGCUAUGUAUGGAGAGGAUAACCGCUGAAAGCAUCUAAGUGGGAAGCCCAUCUCAAGAUAAGUAUUCUCA
rnacentral:rRNA from 1 species